rnacentral:rRNA from 1 species
UACGGAAGGCAGCAGGGGGAAUAUUGCACAAUGGGCGCAAGCCUGAUGCAGCCAUGCCGCGUGUAUGAAGAAGGCCUUCGGGUUGUAAAGUACUUUCAGUCGUGAGGAAGGUGUUAAGGUUAAUAACCUUAGCAAUUGACGUUAGCGACAGAAGAAGCACCGGCUAACUCCGUGCCAGCAGCCGCGGUAAUACGGAGGGUGCGAGCGUUAAUCGGAAUUACUGGGCUAAAGGGCACGCAGGCGGUUAAUUAAGUUGGAUGUGAAAUCCCCGGGCUUAACCUGGGAAUGGCAUUCAAGACUGGUUAGCUAGAGUCUUGUAGAGGGGGUAGAAUUCCAUGUGUAGCGGUGAAAUGCGUAGAGAUGUGGAGGAAUACCGGUGGCGAAGGCGGCCCCUGGACAAAGACUGACGCUCAUGUGCGAAAGCGUGGGGAGCAAACAGGGAUUAGAUACC